rnacentral:lncRNA from 1 species
UUUAUUGUUCCCACGGACAUUGUUGUUGCUGUUGAUAUCAUUGACAUUUUCACCAUUCUUAUUCCCAUUAGAGUGGCCAUCGCCACCCAUUAGUGAUGAUAUCGUGGCCACUAGGGCGGCCGUAAAGUUCGGAUCCGCUGUGAUUGCCGUAACAGUAUCAGCCAAGGUGGCAUGUCGAGUCCCUUGUGUGUGUAACGGGGGUUGCCAGCAAGUCUCGGGGGACUGCAUGUUUUGAGACAUUUGAAGUCCUGAGUUAGAAAACGGUAGUUGGAACUGACCAGAGGUCCGGUGACAGUGUAACGGGGUUGGGGGUUGAGUGAGGUCUAGUGUGACCGUUGGAAAUGGGGCAGAUGCUGAAAUGGUAGUCAUGAGGCCGUCGGAGCUUGGCAUAGAGCCGGAGAGUAGCAUCCGGGCGGCCGAAGAUGUGGUGGAGGUCAUCGCCAUGGCGGCCGGCGGGAGAGGGUGGUUGUGAUUGCCUUCAAUUGGGACGCACAUCAUGGUCGAAAAUGGAUUGAUCGGUGGUUGUGUUUCGGGUGAGAAGAUGCAAACCAGUCUGGUAGUCAACGAUCAAACUCAACAACUACCGAAGAAACAAAACAAGGACAAGAUAAAAUAAAAAUAUUAUCAACUUACAUUAAUAUUCAAAUCAAAAUCCAUAGUGGGUGCAGAAGAUUCGAUCAUCUUAGACAGAUCAUGUUCCUUAUCGGUGAAAAAAUCCACUUCUUUAAUCGGUUUACUGUCUGAUGUUUCGGGUUGAUCGAAAUGAGUGGUGGUAGGUGACCUAUUGUGUCCGGUGAACACCAUGGAAUAUUCCGGUGGGCGGUGAUCGGAGACGAUGGGGUGAUGUGAAUCAAAGGAAAGGUUAGUUUAUGUUUUGAUAAAAGAAAGAGUGGACUCCUGCAAUAAAAAAGAGACAAGAAUGAAGACCAAAAGUACGUAGACCAUGUUGUGUUUGUGUGUGUGUUUUUCUUUUCUCUAGAUAUUUUUUAAUCAGAUACUCAUUGAAUUUGAAUUUGAUUUUGAUUCCUACGUUGUUUUGAUUUUAUUCCAUAAUUUU